rnacentral:rRNA from 1 species
AAUCAACACUGGCGGCGUGCCUCAGACAUGCAAGUCGAACGAUUAAAGCUCUCUUCGGAGAGUGCAUAAAGUGGCGCACGGGUGAGUAACACGUAAGUAAUCUACCUUCGAGUGGGGAAUAACGUCCGGAAACGGACGCUAAUACCGCAUAAUGCAGCGGCACCUAAUGGUGACAGUUGUUAAAGAAUUUAUUCGCUUGAAGUGGAGCUUGCGGCAGAUUAGCUAGUUGGUAAGGUAAUGGCUUACCAAGGCUUCGAUCUGUAACCGGUCUAAGGGGACGGGCGGUCAGACUGACAGUGAAUAACGGGGCAGAGUGCUACGGGGGGAAGCAGUCGGGAAUUUUGGGCAAUGGGCGAAAGCCUGACCCAGCAACGCCGCGUGAAGGAUGAAGUAUUUCGGGAUGUAAACUUCGAAAGAGUGGGAAGAAUCAAUGACGGUACCAUUUAUAAGGUCCGGCUAACUACGUGCCAGCCGCCGCCGUAA